UACGUAGGGUGCAAGCGUUAAUCGGAAUUACUGGGCGUAAAGCGUGCGCAGGCGGUGAUGUAAGACAGGUGUGAAAUCCCCGGGCUUAACCUGGGAACUGCAUUUGUGACUGCAUCGCUGGAGUGCGGCAGAGGGGGAUGGAAUUCCGCGUGUAGCAGUGAAAUGCGUAGAUAUGCGGAGGAACACCGAUGGCGAAGGCAGCUUACUGGGCUGUAACUGACGCUGAGGCACGAAAGCGUGGGGAGCAAACAGG
rnacentral:rRNA from 1 species